rnacentral:rRNA from 1 species
AGCAGCAGCCGCGGUAAUACGUAGGGUGCAAGCGUUAUCCGGAAUUAUUGGGCGUAAAGAGCUCGUAGGCGGUUUGUCGCGUCUGCUGUGAAAACUGGAGGCUCAACCUCCAGCCUGCAGUGGGUACGGGCAGACUAGAGUGCGGUAGGGGAGAUUGGAAUUCCUGGUGUAGCGGUGGAAUGCGCAGAUAUCAGGAGGAACACCGAUGGCGAAGGCAGAUCUCUGGGCCGUAACUGACGCUGAGGAGCGAAAGCGUGGGGAGCGAACAGGAUUAGAUACCCGAGUAGUCCCUGUCUCUUAUAC